rnacentral:rRNA from 1 species
GAUGAACGCUGGCGGCGUGCCUAAUACAUGCGAGUCGAGCGAACAGACGAGGAGCUUGCUCCUCUGACGUUAGCGGCGGACGGGUGAGUAACACGUGGAUAACCUACCUAUAAGACUGGGAUAACUUCGGGAAACCGGAGCUAAUACCGGAUAAUAUAUUGAACCGCAUGGUUCAAUAGUGAAAGACGGUUUUGCUGUCACUUAUAGAUGGAUCCGCGCCGCAUUAGCUAGUUGGUAAGGUAACGGCUUACCAAGGCGGCGAUGCGUAGCCGACCUGAGAGGGGGAUCGGCCACACUGGAGCUGAGACACGGUCCAGGCUCCUACGGGAGGCAGCAGUAGGGAAUCUUCCGCAGUGGGCGAAAGCCUUACGGAGCGACGCCGCGUGAGUGAUGAAGGUCUUCGGUUCGUAAAGCUCUGUUAUUAGGGAAGAACAAAUGUGUAAGUAACUAUGCACAUCUUGACGGUACCUAAACAGAAAGCCACGGCUAACUACGUG